rnacentral:rRNA from 1 species
GACGAACGCUGGCGGCAUGCCUAAUACAUGCAAGUCGAGCGAACAGAUGAAGUGCUUGCACUUCUGACGUUAGCGGCGAACGGGUGAGUAACACGUAAGGAAUCUACCUAUAAGCGGGGGAUAACAUUCGGAAACGGGUGCUAAUACCGCAUAAUAUCUUCUUCCGCAUGGAAGAAGAUUGAAAGACGGCUCUGCUGUCACUUAUAGAUGACCUUGCGGUGCAUUAGUUAGUUGGGGGGGUAACGGCCUACCAAGACGAUGAUGCAUAGCCGACCUGAGAGGGUGAUCGGCCACAUUGGGACUGAGACACGACCCAAACUCCUACGGGAGGCAGCAGUAGGGAAUCUUCCGCAAUGGGCGAAAGCCUGACGGAGCAAUGCCGCGUGAGUGAAGAAGGCCUUCGGGUCGUAAAACUCUGUUAUAAGAGAAGAACAAAUUGUAGAGUAACUGCUACAGUCUUGGCGGUAUCUUAUCAGAAAGCCACGGCUAACUACGUGCCAGCCGCCGCCGCAG